AGUGAACGCUGGCGGCAGGCCUAAUACAUGCAAGUCGAACGGCAGCACAGUGGAGCUUGCUCCAUGGGUGGCGAGUGGCGGACGGGUGAGGAAUACAUGGGAAUCUGCCCAGUCGUGGGGGAUAACGUAGGGAAACUUACGCUAAUACCGCAUGCGCCCUUCGGGGGAAAGCCGGGGACCUUCGGGCCUGGCGCGAUUGGAUGAGCCCAUGUUCGAUUAGCUAGUUGGCGGGGUAAAGGCCCACCAAGGCGACGAUCGAUAGCUGAUCUGAGAGGAUGAUCAGCCACACUGGGACUGAGACACGGCCCAGACUCCUACGGGAGGCAGCAGUAGGGAAUAUUGGACAAUGGGCGCAAGCCUGAUCCAGCCAUGCCGCGUGAGUGAAGAAGGCCCUCGGGUUGUAAAGCUCUUUUGUCCGGGAAGAAAAGCAUCGGGCUAAUACCUCGGUGUUCUGACGGUACCGGAAGAAUAAGCACCGGCUAACUUCGUG
rnacentral:rRNA from 1 species